rnacentral:rRNA from 1 species
GAUGAACGCUGGCGGCGUGCCUAAUACAUGCAAGUCGAGCGAACAGACGAGGAGCUUGCUCCUCUGACGUUAGCGGCGGACGGGUGAGUAACACGUGGAUAACCUACCUAUAAGACUGGGAUAACUUCGGGAAACCGGAGCUAAUACCGGAUAAUAUAUUGAACCGCAUGGUUCAAUAGUGAAAGACGGUUUUGCUGUCACUUAUAGAUGGAUCCGCGCCGCAUUAGCUAGUUGGUAAGGUAACGGCUUACCAAGGCAACGAUGCGUAGCCGACCUGAGAGGGUGAUCGGCCACACUGGAACUGAGACACGGUCCAGACUCCUACGGGAGGCAGCAGUAGGGAAUCUUCCGCAAUGGGCGAAAGCUUGACGGAGCAACGCCGCGUGAGUGAUGAAGGUCUGCGGAUCGUAAAACUCUGUUAUUAGGGAAGAACAAAUGUGUAAGUAACUAUGCACGUCUGGACGGUACCUAAUCAGAAAGCCACGGCGAACUACGU